rnacentral:antisense_RNA from 1 species
CUCAAUACGUAUUUAUCGAGAAUCUAUUAUGUAAAAUGCAGUGUUCACAGCAUCUUCACCAGGAGAAGAUUCUAUCUUAAGCAAACUCUUUUCUCAUGCAUAAGAAGCACCUCCUUACCUGUUAAAAGUUUAAUCAUGAGAUUGCAGGAAUUCAGUCACAUCUUCAGGCUCCACUUCUAAUUCUAUUUCUCUUGGUAUUUCCACCACACCUGCAGUGACUUCCUCCACUGAAGUCUUGAACCUCUCAAAGUCAUCCAUGAGGGUUGGAAUCAACUUCUUCCAAAGCCCUGUUAAUGUUUGUAGUGUUAUGAAAUAUAUGUACAUAUAGGUUUUCAUACACAGGAAACAGAAUCUCUUUGACAUUCUCUUGCCUUCCUUUUACCUGCCUUCCUUUCACCUACCCCAAAGCAGGACUUUAAUCUUCUGCUUUUAUAAUUGUGGAUCAUAAGACUUAUUUCAGAGAGGGUCCCAACCCAUGGCCUGGGGGAAGGAAUGCUGAUGUAAGGAAGCUUCCAUAAAAAUCCAAGAGGACAGCUUCCUGAUAGCUGAACAAGUGGAGGUUUCUGGGGAAUGGCUACCCGGGGAGGGCAUGGGAGCUGUGUCCCUUCCUCCAUACCUCUCCCUGUGCAUCUCUUCAUCUGGAUCCUUCGUGAUAUCCUUUAUAAUAAACUGGUAAAUGUAA